UACGAAGGGGGCUAGCGUUGCUCGGAAUCACUGGGCGUAAAGGCGCACGUAGGCGGCUUCUUAAGUCAGGGGUGAAAUCCUGGAGCUCAACUCCAGAACUGCCUUUGAUACUGAGGAGCUUGAGUCCGGGAGAGGUGAGUGGAACUGCGAGUGUAGAGGUGAAAUUCGUAGAUAUUCGCAAGAACACCAGUGGCGAAGGCGGCUCACUGGCCCGGUACUGACGCUGAGGUGCGAAAGCGUGGGGAGCAAACAGG
rnacentral:rRNA from 1 species